AAUUUACACUACUACGCAACAGAAACCAAGAAAAUCAGCUAAAAUCACCAUUUUUGACAAGAAGGGCCGCUCUAGCAAAGAAGAGACUGGUCUAGCUCCUAACUUACUAGUAGCCUGCACUUCUGUAAGAGCUCAAAAGAUGCGCAAGGUAAUGAAGUACUUGCAUAACAAAUUUCAGAUCUUAACUCAAACAUAUAAGAUAGUUUCAUGCCUAACAUAUUUUCAAUGUACACAUAUUGUAGCAGCCAUCUUGGAGUGAUGAUGUCAUAUGAUGUAACAGGUGGUGGUCCAAUGGAAGCGCCAAGAGUUGAACUUUCAGUACCUGCACUCAAAUUGUUCCAAUCACAUUUAGUUUAGAAGAUAUUCACAAAAACGUAAAAAAUCAAAAGUUCUACUCUC